rnacentral:rRNA from 1 species
UAUUGCACAAUGGGCGCAAGCCUGAUGCAGCCAUGCCGCGUGUGUGAAGAAGGCCUUCGGGUUGUAAAGCACUUUCAGUCAGGAGGAAAGGUUAGUAGUUAAUACCUGCUAGCUGUGACGUUACUGACAGAAGAAGCACCGGCUAACUCCGUGCCAGCAGCCGCGGUAAUACGGAGGGUGCGAGCGUUAAUCGGAAUUACUGGGCGUAAAGCGUACGCAGGCGGUUUGUUAAGCGAGAUGUGAAAGCCCCGGGCUCAACCUGGGAACUGCAUUUCGAACUGGCAAACUAGAGUGUGAUAGAGGGUGGUAGAAUUUCAGGUGUAGCGGUGAAAUGCGUAGAGAUCUGAAGGAAUACCGAUGGCGAAGGCAGCCACCUGGUCAACACUACGCUCAUUACGAAG